UGGCUGUCGUCAACUCGUGUCGUGAGAUGUUGGGUUAAGUCCCGCAACCAGCGCAACCCUUGUUCACUGUUGCCAGCACGUUAUGGUGGGGACUCAGUGGAGACCGCCGGGGUCAACUCGGAGGAAGGUGGGGAUGACGUCAAGUCAUCAUGCCCCUUAUGUCCAGGGCUUCACGCAUGCUACAAUGGCUGGUACAGAGAGUGGCGAGCCUGUGAGGGUGAGCGAAUCUCGAAAAGCCGGUCUCAGUUCGGAUUGGGGUCUGCAACUCGACCUCAUGAAGUCGGAGUCGCUAGUAAUCGCAGAUCAGCAACGCUGCGGUGAAUACGUUCCCGGGUCUUGUACACCCCG
rnacentral:rRNA from 1 species